AAUUUCUUAUACUCCCAUGCAAAGAAAAGAAAAUUCAAACACACUCUAUUUAGUUUAGUCUGAAAAAAGAAAUGCCAAGAGAUAGAGACCCUUUGGUUGUAGGUAGAGUGAUAGGUGAUGUGUUGGAUCCUUUCACAAGAUCCAUUGGUUUGAGAGUGAUUUAUGGCAACAGAGAAGUUGCAAAUGGCUGUGAAUUUAGGCCCUCUCAAGUUGUCAAUCAGCCUAGGGUUGAAGUUGGAGGAGAGGAUCUUCGAACUUUCUUCACCCUGGUGAUGGUGGACCCUGAUGCUCCAAGCCCUAGUGAUCCCAAUCUUAGAGAGUACCUUCACUGCGUGACGAAGCUCACUCGCGGCCCAGCAAGUGGGCGUCACGCGUGGCGCCAGUGCGCGCCACGUCGCGCGUGCGCAUGGCGAGACGGCUCGCCAUCCGUCUCGGUGGGACGGGUGUUUCGGCGGGAUGGUGACGAGACGGGAUGGGGCGCCGCGUCCGUCUCGUCUCGGAGUGAUGAGAUAAGAGACACCUGCUAGAUGCGUUGCUGUGCUCUUAUUGUGAGUGGAGAAAUGAUCUCAUUUUUAAAGGUUGGUGACUGAUAUUCCUGGAACUACUGGGGCAACCUUCGGUGAAUUGUCUAACUCAAUCUUGCAUGCAUGACUUUUUCCAUUAGGAAUAAAUAAAUAAUAAAAAAUAACACUAAAUGCUUGGUUAUGAUAAAAAUUACUAUACUAUAGUAAUAGUAUUAUAUUUUCUCGUUAUGUUUCAUUAUAGUGAAAUAUGUAAACCACUUCAUAUUUCAUUUCAUACCACUCGUAUUAUUUUUAUAA